AUUGAACGCUGGCGGCAUGCCUUACACAUGCAAGUCGAACGGCAGCACGGACUUCGGUCUGGUGGCGAGUGGCGAACGGGUGAGUAAUAUAUCGGAACAUACCUUGUAGUGGGGGAUAACUAUCCGAAAGGAAAGCUAAUACCGCAUACGCCCUACGGGGGAAAGCAGGGGAUCUUGUGACCAUGCGCUAAUAGAUGAGCCUAAGGCGGAUUAGCUAGUUGGCGGUGUAAAGGCCUACCAAGGCGACGAUCUGUAGCGGGUCUGAGAGGAUGAUCCGCCACACUGGGACUGAGACACGGCCCAGACUCCUACGGGAGGCAGCAGUGGGGAAUUUUGGACAAUGGGGGCAACCCUGAUCCAGCCAUUCCGCGUGAGUGAAGAAGGCCUUCGGGUUGUAAAGCUCUUUCGGCAGGAACGAAACGGUGGUUACUAAUACUAGCUACUAAUGACGGUACCUGAAGAAGAAGCACCGGCUAACUACGUGCCAGCCGCCGCAGUAACAC
rnacentral:rRNA from 1 species